rnacentral:lncRNA from 1 species
UCGGAGGUACGAGGCAGUCCUAAGCAGCUUGCUUGAAUAUUCAUGAACGCGAGGGGCAGAAAGCGGAAGUUCACGUGUGAUCGGGAUAUGAUGAGAUGGGGCCAGGUGGGACAUCUUCUCUGUUCUAUUGUUGGAGCUGUGAAGAGGUAUGUGUGUGUGGGGGGGGAGGAGGGUUUGUCAAUACCAGAGGUUGAACCCAGAGUCUCACAGAUGUUAUUCACAAACCACACUGCACUCCCAUUUCCAAAAUGUAGGAUACCAAGCAGGUGCUCUACCACUGAGCUAUAGGCAUGCCCUGUGCUAUAACACUGAACCACACACCCAGACUUUACCAAAGCACCUGUCUAGAAUCCUCCAGUGAGGGGCUGGUUGUGGCUCAGUGUUAGAGCACCUGCCUAGAAUCCCCCAGUGAGGGGCUGGGGGCGUGGCUCAAUGGUAGAGUCCCUGCCUAGAAUCCCCCAGGGAGGGGCUGGGGGCGUGGUUCAGUGGUAGAGCCCCUGCCUAGAAUCCCCCAGUGAGGGGCUGGGGUGUGGCCCAGUGGUAGAGCCCCUGCCUAGAAUCCCCCAGUGAGGAG